UUUUAGACACUCCAGCUUCUUUGCUUGUGAAGUGGGGCGAGGCAGGCACCCCACUUUUGGGGUGUGAGCACUAAAAGCACUGGUGACGGAGGCAAUCGGGUAUGUCAGAGCAGGGCCGGCCACAGAGUAAGAGCUCCCUCACUGUCCCUGCCUGACAGUCUCACCCUCACGCCGUGAGUGCUAGGGCCUCAGCCAGAGCCUCACUCGCACCAGAAGUUCACUCUGGCCCCAGGCACGGAGAGCCCACUAGGGCAAGGACUAAAAAUGACAGCCACAUGGUGCCGUCCAGCUAAUGGUGACUCAAGGUGACCCCACGUGCAGACUAGAACUGCUUCACAGGGGUUUCAAGGCAGUGGCCAGUCCAAAGCAGAUCUCCGCACCUUGACCCCGAGGCACCUUUGUUGGAUUUGAACCACCAGCCUUUAAGAAGCAGAGCACCCUAUCAUCUGCAUCACCAGGCAAGGAAACUGUGAGCAGAGAACCAGACAAGAGGGUGAAGAACAGUGUGCGCCAGCUCCCGUGCUAGAAGCCAGACGUGUCGAAUGCUGAAAGGGAAGGAGUCGGCCUGUAUGAUCAUUACCUGGAGCAAACCUGAGGACACAGGAGGUUCCCAACCCCAACCCCGGGUGGGGUCAGCUGGACCCAAAGUGGAGCCGAGUUGUCAACACCAGCGUGACGUAAGCCUUAAUCAGGACGUUUUGAAGAUGCGUUUCAUUGCUUUUCACGUGUCAGUCAGUGGAGAGCCAAGCAUAUCGCGGUUGAAACGCAUCUGAAUUCUUUCCAGUUUUAUCUUACCUAACCUCCGGUCCUACUGGUAAGAAACAGCGGCUUCCUUCUAAAAGAAAUUGUUUUUAUUCUCCUUUCUGGUCUGGCGUCUGCGCGCUUCCUUUUUGUUACCUGCUGCAUUUCAUCUAAUGCUCUUUAAAUUAUGAAAAAAGCCAUCGAGGACUAUUUUAAAUACGGUUACAAAAAAAGAGAGGUAGCGAUAAUGAGGAACCAACCCAGGUGGAGAGGCAGAAAGGAUGGAGCACUCCAGUGUAAUCAACGUAGCCGACUUGUACGCGCAGAAACGGGCGAAAAAAUCACAUUCUAUUAAUAUCCCUUUCUUGCGUGUUUCCUUUCAAUAUCCCCUGCACCGCGCUUUCCUACGGUUUCUGUGGUCUGUAGCCUCUUCAACACGCUGUUAGGUCACAACCAGUUCCUGGAUCUGGAACACUUAUCUCUAGCUCGCAGCUGGACAGUUGCCUCGCCUUUGGGGAGUUGGCUUGUGGGCUGCCUCCAGGCUCGCAGGGGAGGGGCGUGGGGAGGGCUUGCUCAGGCCUCACUGAGAAGGGGCGGGCCGGACAGUCCUUACCCUCCCCUCCCCUCCUGGGCCUCGGGGAGCAGCCACUGAGGACUGGGAGGUCAAGGCCCAGACACGGACUGGGACCUUCCCCAACUGGGGCCUGUGGCUUCCUUCCUGCCCGCACCCCCCACUUCCUAGG